GACGAACGCUGGCGGCGUGCCUAAUACAUGCAAGUAGAACGCUGAAGAGAGGAGCUUGCUCUUCUUGGAUGAGUUGCGAACGGGUGAGUAACGCGUAGGUAACCCGCCUUGUAGCGGGGGAUAACUAUUGGAAACGAUAGCUAAUACCGCAUAACAAUGGAUGACACAUGUCAUUUAUUUGAAAGGGGCAAUUGCUCCACUACAAGAUGGACCUGCGUUGUAUUAGCUAGUAGGUGAGGUAACGGCUCACCUAGGCGACGAUACAUAGCCGACCUGAGAGGGUGAUCGGCCACACUGGGACUGAGACACGGCCCAGACUCCUACGGGAGGCAGCAGUAGGGAAUCUUCGGCAAUGGGGGCAACCCUGACCGAGCAACGCCGCGUGAGUGAAGAAGGUUUUCGGAUCGUAAAGCUCUGUUGUAAGUCAAGAACGAGUGUGAGAGUGGAAAGUUCACACUGUGACGGUAGCUUACCAGAAAGGGACGGCUAACUACGUGCCAGCAGCCGCGGUAAUACGUAGGUCCCGAGCGUUGUCCGGAUUUAUUGGGCGUAAAGCGAGCGCAGGCGGUUUGAUAAGUCUGAAGUUAAAGGCUGUGGCUCAACCAUAGUUCGCUUUGGAAACUGUCAAACUUGAGUGCAGAAGGGGAGAGUGGAAUUCCAUGUGUAGCGGUGAAAUGCGUAGAUAUAUGGAGGAACACCGGUGGCGAAAGCGGCUCUCUGGUCUGUAACUGACGCUGAGGCUCGAAAGCGUGGGGAGCGAACAGGAUUAGAUACCCUGGUAGUCCACGCCGUAAACGAUGAGUGCUAGGUGUUGGAUCCUUUCCGGGAUUCAGUGCCGCAGCUAACGCAUUAAGCACUCCGCCUGGGGAGUACGACCGCAAGGUUGAAACUCAAAGGAAUUGACGGGGGCCCGCACAAGCGGUGGAGCAUGUGGUUUAAUUCGAAGCAACGCGAAGAACCUUACCAGGUCUUGACAUCCCGAUGCUAUUUCUAGAGAUAGAAAGUUACUUCGGUACAUCGGUGACAGGUGGUGCAUGGUUGUCGUCAGCUCGUGUCGUGAGAUGUUGGGUUAAGUCCCGCAACGAGCGCAACCCCUAUUGUUAGUUGCCAUCAUUCAGUUGGGCACUCUAGCGAGACUGCCGGUAAUAAACCGGAGGAAGGUGGGGAUGGCGUCAAAUCAUCAUGCCCCUUAUGACCUGGGCUACACACGUGCUACAAUGGUUGGUACAACGAGUUGCGAGUCGGUGACGGCAAGCUAAUCUCUUAAAGCCAAUCUCAGUUCGGAUUGUAGGCUGCAACUCGCCUACAUGAAGUCGGAAUCGCUAGUAAUCGCGGAUCAGCACGCCGCGGUGAAUACGUUCCCGGGCCU
rnacentral:rRNA from 1 species